UACGUAGGGUGCGAGCGUUAAUCGGAAUUACUGGGCGUAAAGCGUGCGCAGGCGGUUUUGUAAGCCAGAUGUGAAAGCCCCGGGCUUAACCUGGGAAUGGCAUUUGGGACUGCAAGGCUAGAGUGCGGCAGAGGAGACUGGAAUUCCUGGUGUAGCAGUGAAAUGCGUAGAUAUCAGGAGGAAUACCGAUGGCGAAGGCAGGUCUCUGGGCAACAACUGACGCUGAGGAGCGAAAGCGUGGGGAGCGAACAGG
rnacentral:rRNA from 1 species